CCCCGGCCCCUCUCCACAGCCAUUCACCGGUUUGCGACACCUGGAUAUCGGGAAACGGGCGCUGCUUUACGGCCGCGGCGCCGCCUUCUGGCUUCGGGAAGGGGUCGGCGAGAGGUGGCCGCCAUCUUGCUGUAGCUUUCCAGCUUUCAUGCCAGACUUGGGUGUUCUGUAUUUGUUACCCCGCGGAGUCGUUCGCACAAGAACUGAGAGUGAGAACACGGGGACUGAAAGAGGUGGUGAGGUCAGGUCUAUGGAAGAGAAUUGACAUUGGUCACACUUAUCCAGAUGCCUCAGGGAUGUUCCCUGCACAGGAACGACAGACAACAUACAGGAAGACAAAUUUGCUGCAAGGAGCUUACUAAAAUGCACAGUUGGGUCACACGUCAUAAUUCCUGCUCUGCUUCUGAGCAGGUUUCUGUGUGAUACUUGUCCUCAUCGUUAUGUAGGUUAGUAAAACGUGGAAAGGGUUUGCUUAUCUUAACAUUGUUUGUGUGUGAGAGGGGUGGGAGAUGCUUACCCCUCAGGUUGUCAGGAAUAUACAAACCCCACCUCCAACACUACAAAACUCGAAAGACUUGCCCCACCCUGAUUCUCCAUCUCUUGCCUAUUAGUUCCCCCCUUAAAUCCUAGAACAUGCAAGUGAACCAAAGUAAGAUUUAAGCAUCUGUGCAAGUGUAAGAAAGAUGUCUGUCAAAGGUCUAAUCUCAGGUAAACAGACCAGAAAAACCUCUAAUACGGUUUUGGUGAGCCAAAUCCUUUGGUUACUUCUGCAGGUGAUGUUUUACAUAACAUUUACAAACCUAGAGACUUGUGAUUAACUGGUAGGAAGAACAGAAAGACUAUUUGCUGUGCUUAUGAGGAGUCAAACACAAUGGCAAUUACAAGAUCAUCCCAUUAUAUAGGUGCCUUAAUAAUAUAGUUGGACGACAUGUCAUUUGUUCAUUGUAAUUACAGUAUAAACCAAAACGUUAAAGCAGCUGGCACUGUAGUGAUUUAAUAAUAAUUUUUAAAAUGUCCCUUAGUAACUUUGCCUCUAAUUAAAAAGGAAUCUAGCUGUCACAAUAAAUUGCACCUACCUGGCACGUGGAGAUUGCGCUCUCUUGUGGUUUUCAUCACCUUUUGAAGUGUUGCAGAACACCUGAUCAUUAUCUUUCCUUUCUCCUGUGAUGCAGCCCUACAGCAUCUAGCAAUAAAUUGUAGGCACUUUCAUUGACCUUUCCAUUUCUUCUUAAAAGCAGAUGAGAGUAUGCUCAGUAAUCAUAAAAAUAAAAAAAAACAUUAGUGUAAAAAGUAUAUAUUAUUAACUAUGGUCACUGUUGCUGUCCCAUUUUUAUUAAGUUAAUAAAUUGUCCUGGGAAAACUGCCCAUUUAAAAAUCUUGGAUUCCAUAUCAUAGAAAAUCCAAAUUGUUUUAUAGGAUUUGUAGUGGUGUAUCUCUAUUCCCUUUUCCCAAAUUAGCAUGUUAUGGACAGUUUAAGAGCAGUUCUGUUGCAUUCCAUUUCUGUGUAUUCAUCCGUGGUAGGUGAACUUAAAAGUGACUACAUUUAUUUAUUGAAGGACCUCUGUAGAGCUAGAGAUGUAAAGCAUAUCAAAAAAGAACAGAAUAUAUUUAAGGGGUAUUAUAACAUCUUCCUAAAAUGUUUUUCAGAAUUGUAUUGCACUUAUCUCUUGCAUUUAAAAUUGUGCUUUUAGUGAUGUAAGCAUUGUAGUCUACCUGUUUCCUGGGUUUGCUGGAUGCCCAAUACUUCUUUCUGUACAACACAAACCUUCACAGAUACCAGUUACUAUGUUAUUCUAAAAAUAAGUUUAGGCAUUAACUGAAAUAUUUUUAUGUGACUGAAAACUUCAGGAUGAAAGCAACUACUUGUAAGCAAGAACUCAUAUGCCUUUUUUAUUAGAGCAAAGAUUCUGUUAAUAUUUGGUGUUUCAUCUAUUUACAAUGAAUGGUUUGGUUUGGUUUUCGAAAUCUGUUCUGCUACUCUGCAAAUAAAGAAUCUGAUGUAAAAUUCA